rnacentral:other from 3 species
GGCGAGCUGUCUGGUGCGUGUUUCCGCAGAUCUUCCGAGCCAACAUUAUUUUAUAGGGAGCUGUCCCUGAUCUGACCGAGGUCUUUUCAAAUGGCGCCCACUUUAUUGAGAAGCGGUUCGAUAAGAAUGUAACUGAUACGGCGAGACGGCCCCUCC